UGGCUCAGAUUGAACGCUGGCGGCAGGCCUAACACAUGCAAGUCGAACGGUAACAGGAAGCAGCUUGCUGCUUCGCUGACGAGUGGCGGACGGGUGAGUAAUGUCUGGGAAACUGCCUGAUGGAGGGGGAUAACUACUGGAAACGGUGGCUAAUACCGCAUAACGUCGCAAGACCAAAGAGGGGGACCUUCGGGCCUCUUGCCAUCAGAUGUGCCCAGAUGGGAUUAGCUUGUUGGUGAGGUAACGGCUCACCAAGGUGACGAUCCCUAGCUGGUCUGAGAGGAUGACCAGCCACACUGGAACUGAGACACGGUCCAGACUCCUACGGGAGGCAGCAGUGGGGAAUAUUGCACAAUGGGCGCAAGCCUGAUGCAGCCAUGCCGCGUGUAUGAAGAAGGCCUUCGGGUUGUAAAGUACUUUCAGCGGGGAGGAAGGUGUUGUGGUUAAUAACCGCAGCAAUUGACGUUACCCGCAGAAGAAGCACCGGCUAACUCCGUGCCAGCAGCCGCGGUAGUACGGAGGGUGCAAGCGUUAAUCGGAAUUACUGGGCGUAAAGCGCACGCAGGCGGUCUGUCAAGUCGGAUGUGAAAUCCCCGGGCUCAACCUGGGAACUGCAUUCGAAACUGGCAGGCUUGAGUCUUGUAGAGGGGGGUAGAAUUCCAGGUGUAGCGGUGAAAUGCGUAGAGAUCUGGAGGAAUACCGGUGGCGAAGGCGGCCCCCUGGACAAAGACUGACGCUCAGGUGCGAAAGCGUGGGGAGCAAACAGGAUUAGAUACCCUGGUAGUCCACGCCGUAAACGAUGUCUACUUGGAGGUUGUGCCCUUGAGGCGUGGCUUCCGGAGCUAACGCGUUAAGUAGACCGCCUGGGGAGUACGGCCGCAAGGUUAAAACUCAAAUGAAUUGACGGGGGCCCGCACAAGCGGUGGAGCAUGUGGUUUAAUUCGAUGCAACGCGAAGAACCUUACCUGGUCUUGACAUCCACAGAAGAAUCCAGAGAUGGAUUUGUGCCUUCGGGAACUGUGAGACAGGUGCUGCAUGGCUGUCGUCAGCUCGUGUUGUGAAAUGUUGGGUUAAGUCCCGCAACGAGCGCAACCCUUAUCCUUUGUUGCCAGCGAUUAGGUCGGGAACUCAAAGGAGACUGCCAGUGAUAAACUGGAGGAAGGUGGGGAUGACGUCAAGUCAUCAUGGCCCUUACGACCAGGGCUACACACGUGCUACAAUGGCGCAUACAAAGAGAAGCGACCUCGCGAGAGCAAGCGGACCUCAUAAAGUGCGUCGUAGUCCGGAUUGGAGUCUGCAACUCGACUCCAUGAAGUCGGAAUCGCUAGUAAUCGUGGAUCAGAAUGCCACGGUGAAUACGUUCCCGGGCCUUGUACACACCGCCCGUCACACCAUGGGAGUGGGUUGCAAAAGAAGUAGGUAGCUUAACCUUCGGGAGGGCGCUUACCACUUUGUGAUUCAGGACUGGGGUGAAGUCGUAACAAGG
rnacentral:rRNA from 1 species